UACGGCCACAUCAUGUUAAAACACCAGUUGCUCUAUAAUCACCAAAGUUAAGCAACAUUGAGCCUUGUCAGUACUUAGAUAGGUGACCACUUGGAAAUACCAGGUGCUGUAA